rnacentral:rRNA from 1 species
ACGAACGCUGGCGGCGUGCUUAACACAUGCAAGUCGAACGGUGAACGAGGGAGCUUGCUCCCUCCGGAUCAGUGGCGAACGGGUGAGUAACACGUGAGCAAUCUGCCCCGAACUCUGGGAUAAGCGUUGGAAACGACGUCUAAUACCGGAUACGACGCGGGAGGGCAUCCUCUCCGCGUGGAAAGAACUUCGGUUCGGGAUGAGCUCGCGGCCUAUCAGCUUGUUGGUGGGGUAACGGCUCACCAAGGCGACGACGGGUAGCCGGCCUGAGAGGGUGACCGGCCACACUGGGACUGAGACACGGCCCAGACUCCUACGGGAGGCAGCAGUGGGGAAUAUUGCACAAUGGGCGCAAGCCUGAUGCAGCAACGCCGCGUGAGGGACGACGGCCUUCGGGUUGUAAACCUCUUUUAGCAGGGAAGAAGCGAAAGUGACGGUACCUGCAGAAAAAGCACCGGCUAACUACGUG